rnacentral:rRNA from 1 species
GGGCAUGUGCACGCUCUGUUAGCACAUCCACUCACACCCUGUGCACCCUCUGUAGUUCUGUGGUUGGGGGGCCUCGUCCUCGUGCCGUGGUUCUGCAUCUUUACACACACACCGUAACAAAGUCUCAUGGAAUGCAUCUGCGUUUAACGCAAUACAAUACAACUUUCAGCAACGGAUCUCUUGGCUCUCGCAUCGAUGAAGAACGCAGCGAAAUGCGAUAAGUAAUGUGAAUUGCAGAAUUCAGUGAAUCAUCGAAUCUUUGAACGCACCUUGCGCCCUUUGGCCAUUCCGAAGGGCAUGCCUGUUUGAGUAUCAUGAACACCUCAACUCUUCAUGGUUUUCUGUGAUGAGCUUGGACUUUGGGGGUUUUGCUGGCCUGCGGUCGGCUCCUCUAAAAUGAAUCAGCUUGCCAGUGUUUGGUGGGCAUCACAGGUGUGAUAACUAUCUACGCUUGUGGUUUUCCACCAGGUAACCUUCAGCAGUGGAGGUUCGCUGGAGCUCACAGAUGUCUCUCCUCA